UGGUUGUGCACUUAGCCGCA
rnacentral:siRNA from 1 species